CCUUCGCUAAAACGGAACAGCUCCACAUAACAACCCCUCGCUCCCUCACCCGCCCUCCGGCUUACGGGUGCAGCUCACUCUUUCUCUCUAGACCUAUUGGUGUAGUAUGGCAUCUGUAACUAUAAUUCAAAAAAAUACAGAAAAAGACUCGCACACCUCAUUCGUUAACACUAGCUCAUUGUCCUCCCGAGUUUGGAAGACUCCAUGACACCUCUUAGAAAGUUGCACUCCAUAAAGCUUUCUCACCUUCCCCGCACCGCCGAUGGACCUCUUUAAUCCGAUCAGCAGACCUGCAUAUCCCGCUGCAGGUCCAAUCAAAUGAAGCAACACAGAUGUUGCCAGCCUGCGCCUUCCACUCGCAAUCUGGUGGGGUUCCACAACAUAGUCUCCGAUCAUCAAUGUGCUCUGCAUCUAGUCCAAUAAACCAAGAUCCCAAUGAAACAUCCUCAUUAGCAUACUU
rnacentral:misc_RNA from 1 species